AGGAGAGAACCAUGGAAUGGAUCCUUCCCUCACACCUCACAGAAGGAUAUAACCCUGUAAACUUGUAAGCCAAGGAGAGAGCCAUGGAAUGGAUCCUUCCCUCACACCUCACAGAAGGAUAUAACCCUGUAAGCUUGUAAGCCAAGGAGAGAACCAUGGAAUGGAUCCUUCCCUCACACCCGACAGAAGGAUAUAACCCCGUAAGCUUGUAAGGCAAGGAGAAAGCCAUGGAAUGGAUCCUUCCCUCACACCUCACAGAAGGAUAGAACCCUGUAAGCUUGUAAGCCAAGGAGAGAGCCAUGGAAUGGAUCCUUCCCUCACACCCGACAGAAGGAUAUAAUGCUGCCAACAAUUUGAUUGCAAAUUUCUGACUUUCACACUGAGAGACAAUAAAUCUCUGUUGUCUAAACCACCCAGUUUGCAGCAGACCAGCAAAUAAAUGUAUAUAACUAUCAGUUAUUUCCUAGGUAAACCAGGGCAUGUCACUUAUUGCCUCUAGGCCUUUGUUUAUUUAAAUACAAUACAGUGACUUGUUUAUUUAAAUACAAUACAAUUAUGCCUGCUUCAACUAUUUUAAAGAUAGUGGAAAAACUCAGGAUGAUGUGCCCUGUUCUGCUUGGAAACUGUCAGAAAUAAACCAUUCUCCUCAAGGGCAAUUGUCUCCAGUUCUGUUGCAUGGUGAAUACUUGAAUAAAACCAAAAUUCCAGUGUCUCUGGAAGGGACUGCAUGGCUUCUACCAUUGCAGCAUUCAAAGAGUGGUCCUUCCCUUCAGACCUCAGUGCAGAAAGUGGUGGCAGCCCUUGAGAUGGCAAUAUAG
rnacentral:lncRNA from 13 species